rnacentral:rRNA from 1 species
AUACGUAGGUGGCAAGCGUUGUCCGGAAUUAUUGGGCGUAAAGCGCGCGCAGGCGGUCCUUUAAGUCUGAUGUGAAAGCCCACGGCUCAACCGUGGAGGGUCAUUGGAAACUGGGGGACUUGAGUGCAGAAGAGGAAAGUGGAAUUCCAAGUGUAGCGGUGACAUGCGUAGAGAUUUGGAGGAACACCAGUGGCGAAGGCGACUUGCUGGUCUGUAACUGACGCUGAGGCGCGAAAGCGUGGGGAGCAAACAGGUUUGGAUACCCUGGUAGUCCACGCCGUAAACGAUGAGUGCUAAGUGUUAGGGGGUUUCCGCCCCUUAGUGCUGCAGCUAACGCAUUAAGCACUCCGCCUGGGGAGUACGGUCGCAAGACUGAAACUCAAAUGAAUUGACGGGG